rnacentral:rRNA from 1 species
AAACAAGUAUUAAAGGUCCCGCCUGCCCAGUGAAACAUUUAAACGGCCGCGGUAUCCUAACCGUGCAAAGGUAGCGUAAUCACUUGUCUUCUAAAUAGAGACUAGUAUGAACGGCUAAAUGAGGACAAAACUGUCUCUUACAGCUAAUCAGUGAAACUGAUCUUCCAGUACAAAAGCUGGAAUAAACCCAUAAGACGAGAAGACCCUGUGGAGCUUUAAACCAGUCGCUAACAAGCAUUCAAAUAAUGCACCUAGCCCCAGGUUUUAAGUUGGGGCGACUUCGGAACAAAACAAAACUUCCGAGCACAGAACCACCACUUCUCGCUAAGGCCAACAAGCCAAAGCAUGAAACCCGACCCAGUCACACUGAUCAACGAACCAAGUUACCCCAGGGAUAACAGCGCUAUCUUCUUCAAGAGUCCCUAUCGACAAGAAGGUUUACGACCUCGAUGUUGGAUCAGGACACCCAAAUGGUGCAGCCGCUAUUAAAGGUUCGUUUGUUCAACGAUUCACAG